CCUACGGGAGGCAGCAGUAGGGAAUAUUGGUCAAUGGGCGAAAGCCUGAACCAGCAACGCCGCGUGCGCGAUGAAGGCCUUCGGGUCGUAAAGCGCUUUUGGGAGGGAUGAAAAUGACAGUACCUCCCGAAUAAGGAUCGGCUAACUACGUGCCAGCAGCCGCGGUAAGACGUAGGAUCCAAGCGUUAUCCGGAAUUACUGGGCGUAAAGGGCGUGUAGGAGGUUGGGCAAGUCGGCCAUGAAAGCUCCCGGCUCAACUGGGAGAGGCUGGUCGAUACUGCCUGGCUAGAGGGCAAGAGAGGGAGGUGGAAUUCCCGGUGUAGUGGUGAAGUGCGUAGAUAUCGGGAGGAACACCAGUGGCGAAGGCGGCCUCCUGGCUUGUACCUGACUCUGAAACGCGAAAGCAUGGGUAGCAAACAGGAUUAGAAACCCUGGUAGUCCAUGCCAUAAACGAUGUCAACUGGGUGUCGGCGAAGUAAAAUUUGUCGGUGCCGAAGCUAACGCGUUAAGUUGACCGCCUGAGGACUACGAUCGCAAGAUUAAAACCCCAAAUGAAUUGACGG
rnacentral:rRNA from 1 species